rnacentral:rRNA from 1 species
AACGAACGCUGGCGGCAUGCCUAACACAUGCAAGUCGAACGAGACCUUCGGGUCUAGUGGCGCACGGGUGCGUAACGCGUGGGAACCUUCCCUUAGGUUCGGAAUAACUCCCCGGAAGGGGUGCUAAUACCGGAUAAUGUCUUCGGACCAAAGAUUUAUCGCCUUUGGAUGGGCCCGCGUUGGAUUAGCUAGUUGGUAGGGUAAAAGCCUACCAAGGCGACGAUCCAUAGCUGGUCUGAGAGGAUGAUCAGCCACACUGGGACUGAGACACGGCCCAGACUCCUACGGGAGGCAGCAAUGGGGAAUAUUGGACAAUGGGCGAAAGCCUGAUCCAGCAAUGCCGCGUGAGUGAUGAAGGCCUUAGGGUUGUAAAGCUCUUUUACCCGGGAUGAUAAUGACCGUACCGGGAGAAUAAGCUCCGGCUAACUCCGUG